rnacentral:rRNA from 1 species
GACGAACGCUGGCGGCGUGCUUAACACAUGCAAGUCGAACGAUGAAGCCGGAGCUUGCUCUGGUGAAUUAGUGGCGAACGGGUGAGUAACACGUGAGUAACCUGCCCUUGACUCUGGGAUAACUGCGGGAAACUGUAGCUAAUACCGGAUACGACCCUCGGAGGCAUCUCCUGGGGGUGGAAAGAAUUUCGGUCAAGGAUGGACUCGCGGCCUAUCAGCUAGUUGGUGAGGUAAAGGCUCACCAAGGCGACGACGGGUAGCCGGCCUGAGAGGGUGACCGGCCACACUGGGACUGAGACACUGCCCAGACUCCUACGGGAGGCAGCAGUGGGGAAUAUUGCACAAUGGGCGCAAGCCUGAUGCAGCAACGCCGCGUGAGGGAUGACGGCCUUCGGGUUGUAAACCUCUUUUAGCAGGGAAGAAGCGAAAGUGACGGUACCUGCAGAAAAAGCACCGGCUAACUACGUGCCAGCCGUCGCAGUAA